rnacentral:rRNA from 1 species
GACGAACGCUGGCGGCGUGCUUAACACAUGCAAGUCGAACGGUAAGGCCCUUCGGGGUACACGAGUGGCGAACGGGUGAGUAACACGUGGGUGAUCUGCCCUGCACUUCGGGAUAAGCCUGGGAAACUGGGUCUAGUACCGGAUAGGACUCCUGCCUGCAUGGGUGGGGGUGGAAAGCUUUUGUGGUGUGGGAUGGGCCCGCGGCCUAUCAGCUUGUUGGGGGGGUGAUGGCCUACCAAGGCGACGACGGGUAGCCGGCCUGAGAGGGUGACCGGCCACACUGGGACUGAGAUACGGCCCAGACUCCUACGGGAGGCAGCAGUGGGGAAUAUUGCCCAAUGGGCGCAAGCCUGAUGCAGCGACGCCGCGUGAGGGAUGACGGCCUUCGGGUUGUAAACCUCUUUCAGCACAGACGAAGCGCAAGUGACGGUAUGUGCAGAAGAAGGACCGGCCAACUACGUGCCAGCCGCCGCCGUAA